rnacentral:lncRNA from 1 species
AGAGCAUAACCAAAACCAAAUAUUCUUGGGGGAGAAUGGGGUCACUAAUGGCCUCUGCUUCUAUCACUCUUGCUUUUGCCAUAAUCCUUUUCAGCCUCCCAUCUGAAAUCUCAGCAAACAACUACAUCUACUCCUCUCCUCCACCUCCCAAGAAGCCUUACCACUACCCAUCUCCACCUCCACCAGUUCCUUCACCACCUCCACCUAAGGCUCCUUACCACUACCCAUCUCCGCCACCACCACCAAAGAAGCCCUACAAAUACCCAUCACCACCACCCCCAGGGAAGCAACCCUACCCUGACCCCCACCCCCACCGCCACCCUCACCCUCACCCUCACCUCAACCC